GACAGAUGAAGACCCCAGCGCGGGAUGCGGGGAGGGGGGCGGGGAUGGCAGCCUUCUGAGGCUCCAUAGGAAGCCCCCUCCGCACGGUGGCAGGAGGCUCCCGUCCUGGGCCAUGGAGAGGAGAGCAGGGACCUUGCCCCCAGCUCCUUCUUACACUCACACUCACACUCACACACUCACACUCACACCUAUCCUGCAGGCUGGGCUGCAUGAAGGGCUGAUGCCUGGUGGGCCCACUCCCAGGACCACGAGUCAACAGAACAUGCUGAGGGACACCCCCCCCCCUCGCAAAGGCUUAUGCAGAAGUCGUAGGAAAAGCAGGGGGUACCCACCCACCCAGCCGGGCGGCCUUAAGCUUCACUGUCCUGGAUGCGGAUGUGGCGCAUUGGGGGUGCAGGAUGUGGGGCCUAGGGGAGGACUCCGUGCCAGACAAGCAGCACAUCAACCCCGGAGCCGGAGGGCACGGAGUUCAGGCCCAGCAUGCUCUGGGUCCUGUCUCCACCACCCCCGACACCAGGGAGCAGCGGCUGGCCGGUCCACCGUGUGUGAGAGCAGUUGUCACGUGCACCUGCUGAGCAGCAGUCAGAGAGCCCUGCAGAAAUGCAGGCGAGGACCCCAUCCCCGGGUCCCUGGGGAGGUAGAAGGAGCCGGGGUGCACACCCUGUGUGUGAGCCCGACUCCCUGUAGGUACAGGCACCAUGUGUGACGUUGAGAGCCUCGCAGAAGGAAGACAUCACGUGGCCCAGGUGGACACGGUCUCCCCCUGAGCCCACAGCUGGUACUAGGGGGGCUGCAUGGGUCCAGCGUGGGGACGCGUUCGUCAGGAGUGGCCUCCAGAGCGGCCCUGCCGGCUCCGUGCCUAUCCUGCUGGCCGAUGCUUGCACCCCAGGCAGGGCUGUCCCCCCAGGAUGGCCUAGGAAGCAGGGCACCCCCCUCCCCACCAGGGGCAAACGGGGAGCCCCACAUGGGCAACACGCAGCAGCUGGGAGGGCGGAUCCAAGGGCUUGUGUUUGGCUCUGCAGGCUGUGGAAAGGGAGGCGGGCCGCAACGGGAGGGCAGGAAAGAUCCUUGCAAGACAAAUGAGCCAGCUGCAGGACGUGUAGUCAGGGGGCUUUCAGUCCCAUCUCUCUCUCUCUCUCUCUGUAUAUAUGCAUCUCCCAUCUAGAUCCCAUAUAUGUAUAUGCAUCUCCCAUAUAGACCCCGUACACAUAUGCAUCUCCCAUAUAGACCCUGCAUAUAUAUGCAUCUCCCAUGUACAUCCCGUAUGUGUAUAUAUAUAUGCAUCUCCCAUAUAGAUCCUGUAUGUACAUAUGCAUCUCCCAUAUAGAUCCCAUAUAUAUAUGCAUCUCCCAUAUAGAUCCUGUAUAUAUAUGCAUCUCUAGUGAAUAUUUACAUAUUCCUAUAUAUAUAUAUGCAACCCAUAUACAUAUGCGUGUCCCAUUCGAUUCCAUAUAUAUGGCAUGUCCAGUGGCCUGCUAGUAUCACCAUGAAGUGUCUGCCUCAAUACUGUGCAUUUUCUUUUUUCCUUUUUUUUUUUUUUAAGGAUUUUAUAUAUUUAUCCCUGACAGAGCCAGAGAGAGAGGUAGAGACCCAGGCAGAGGGAGAAGCAGGCUUUGCGCCAGGACCCCGAUGCGGGACUCGAUCCCAGGGCCCCGGGGUCGUGCCCUGAGCCAGAGGCAGGUGUGCCAAUACGGUGCAUGUUCGAGGGGCUCCAGCUUCUCCCUCUGCACACGAGCAUUGCCAGCCUCCAGCUGUUCGUUGGUUGGAAGGCAAAGGCUGGUUGAGUGGAGACACCCCUUGGCCCAGGUGUCUCUGUGUCUCCUGCACGCUCAGAGCUCCUGCUCCUCAGAAGUACGCUCAGGGAGCGGAGCCAGAGUCCCUGACGUGGUGCAUUCCACCUGGUUCUGGGUGCAGAGAGCCUGCGGGGCGCCCACGACAGAGCCCGGAGCGACACAGCACGCGCAGGUGUGCAGGUGUGCAGGUGUGCAGUGCAGGCGGGCGUCCCGGGAAAGGCACCCCGCUGGCUCACUUACCCCAUGGGCCUUGCGUUCUAACGGAAGGGAACAGGAGCUGCACCGGCGGGCCGGAUCGCGGUGCUGCCUCGCUGUCUCCUGGGUGGUCGCGGCCUGUGACCUGCGGGGCGUGCGCGCUGCACUGGAGCUUUAGGGUGGAAGAGAAUGCGGUGCCUGCCCGAUGUGAGGCGGGCCUUUGGAUGGCGCUGGAAGCUCUCGUCUCGCUGGGAUGUGCGUGCAUGUGCACGCCGCGGGGCUGGCUGGGGACGGACACGUGGGAGUCAGAAGUGUUUGCAGAACACCAGGCGGCAGGUGAGGCAUGGAGAGCCGUAGACGCCCAGGGAUGCAUGGACGGGGGAGCCAGGCCUGUUCCUUCGGGUAAAAGGAAGUGGGCAGGUGUCGGAGGUCCUGCAAGGUGACCCGAGCACGUGUCUUUACCUAACACAGGAAGGCAGAGCAGCCUAGCAGGUUGGUGUUGACCUCCGAGCACGGUUGCACGUACAAACUCGCGAGUGGGGACGUGGCUGGGCGUGGGGCACGCGGUGUGGACCGACCUCAGGCGUAUGUGCGGCCACCUGCGCGGUGUCCGGGCCGCGUUCAACGCCUCAGGCGAACCCUGCACAGCGCUGGGCCGGGUCCAGCGUGUUACAGAGCAGCUUCCACAGCGCUCCCGAGCGUUUCUGGACAGCGUCUUCUCUGGCUCUUGCCUCAGUGGCCUCGAGUAAUCCAAUAAUAACUGCUCCUCCCCGAGCUUCCCUUUGAACGCGAAAAUGUGUUGCUUUUUUUUUUUUUUUUUUUAAUCAUAGGAAGCUUGGCCAAGUUCUGCUCAUCGGUUGCUUUUUUUUUUUUUUCUUUUGAGAACGGCCGAUCUCGGGGCUCUCGUCUCCCCGGGGUCUUCACGCCCAGUCAGCCAACGUUCAGCCCCCUUGCGACUCGGGGAGGCCGUGGUUCCAGCUCCCGGCUGCAGGAAUCAUUUGCAAAACACCGGGAUUCACGAACCUCCGGAUCUCACAAGUACAAGAUGACACGGAGUGAAAAUCGGAGGGGAACACAGUCCCCCACACACCACAGACGUGCCCUCAGGGACAGCUCGUCCAAAAAUGGUGCAUGGGGAGAGCGGUGCUAACGGUGUCCAGGUCUGGAAGAGCUGCCCGCCCCCGCCCUUCCAGAGAGAAAGCAGGGAAAGCCAGGCACCCCUUUGGUAUUCUGCGCUUCCCCGUCCGAAGUCGGGACCUUAUGUUCAUGCUCCCGGGGAGAUGAGCUACAGAGCCGCCUUCUGCACAUGCCCUUUGGUCACAAAUACACCACACAAGUUGGACAUCAAGGAAAAAUCAGGGCUCAGCCCUAAAAUCCCCACGGCCCUGAGAUGUUCUGAUUUUAGAGAGGAUUCAAGACUAUAUUUCACCAGACUCGCUUCCCUCUUCCUUAGAGGAAUUAUAAGGAGUGACAAUGACCCUCCUUUGAGCAAAGCAUUCGGAGCCUCUAACAGAAAGGAGCGGCGUUAACUUUAUCUCCAAAACGACAUGCACCUGUCCUGUUGGGGGAGCUGUGAAUGGAUACUUCUGUGCUGAGCUGCGGGAUCACUGGAUGCUGCCCCUGGUCACGGUUGAGUGAGUUCGGGAGAUUGGGAAACGCGCUCUUCUGGAAUUCAUACACGGGGAAUGUUACUCAUCCAUGAGAAGGAACGGAGCUCUGACACCGGCUACCAUGUGGAUGGAUCUUGAGGACGUGACGGUGAGGGAGGAAGCAGACGCGCAAAAGGCCACAUUGUGUGAGACUCUGCUUAUAUGCCAGGUGUGUCCACAGACAGAAAGUAGAUUGGUGGGUCCCAAGAGCUGCAGGAGGGGAUGGGGAGGGACUGCUUGCUCAUGGAGACAGGGGGAUGAGAAUGUUCUGGA